CGGAUCCGCGCCGCUGCAGAGUUUGAUCCUGGCUCAGGACGAACGCUGGCGGCGUGCUUAACACAUGCAAGUCGAACGGGGAUAUCCGAGCGGAAGGCUUCGGCCGGAAGGUCGGGUAUUCGAGUGGCGGACGGGUGAGUAACGCGUGAGCAAUCUGUCCCAGACAGGGGGAUAACACUUGGAAACAGGUGCUAAUACCGCAUAAGACCACGGCAUCGCAUGGUGCAGGGGUAAAAGGAGCGAUCCGGUCUGGGGUGAGCUCGCGUCCGAUUAGAUAGUUGGUGAGGUAACGGCCCACCAAGUCGACGAUCGGUAGCCGACCUGAGAGGGUGAUCGGCCACAUUGGAACUGAGAGACGGUCCAAACUCCUACGGGAGGCAGCAGUGGGGAAUAUUGGGCAAUGGGCGAAAGCCUGACCCAGCAACGCCGCGUGAGUGAAGAAGGCCUUCGGGUUGUAAAGCUCUGUUAUGCGAGACGAAGGAAGUGACGGUAUCGCAUAAGGAAGCCCCGGCUAACUACGUGCCAGCAGCCGCGGUAAUACGUAGGGGGCGAGCGUUGUCCGGAAUGACUGGGCGUAAAGGGCGUGUAGGCGGCCGACUAAGUAUGGAGUGAAAGUCCAUUUUUCAAGGAUGGAAUUGCUUUGUAGACUGGAUGGCUUGAGUGCGGAAGAGGUAAGUGGAAUUCCCAGUGUAGCGGUGAAAUGCGUAGAGAUUGGGAGGAACACCAGUGGCGAARGCGACUUACUGGGCCGUAACUGACGCUGAGGCGCGAAAGCGUGGGGAGCGAACAGGAUUAGAUACCCUGGUAGUCCACGCGGUAAACGAUGAAUGCUAGGUGUUGCGGGUAUCGACCCCUGCAGUGCCGGAGUAAACACAAUAAGCAUUCCGCCUGGGGAGUACGGCCGCAAGGUUGAAACUCAAAGGAAUUGACGGGGGCCCGCACAAGCAGCGGGAGCAUGUUUGUUUAAUUCGAAGCAACGCGAAGAACCUUACCAGGUCUUGACAUCCCAUCUAAGCCCCAUAGAGAUAUGGAGUUCCUUC
rnacentral:rRNA from 1 species